rnacentral:rRNA from 1 species
UGCGUAGGUGGUGAGGUAAGUCGGAUGUGAAAUCUCCGGGCUCAACCCGGAAACGGCAUUGGAAACUACCUUGCUGGAGGUUUUGAGGGGGGACUGGAAUUCUCGGUGUAGCAGUGAAAUGCGUAGACAUCGAGAGGAACACCAGUGGCGAAGGCGAGUCCCUGGAAAAAACCUGACACCGAGGCACGAAAGCUAGGGGAGCAAACA